rnacentral:rRNA from 1 species
GGACUCUUGAAGUCUUAGUGGCGCAGCUAACGCACUAAGUUGACCGCCUGGGGAGUACGGCCGCAAGGUUAAAACUCAAAUGAAUUGACGGGGGCCCGCACAAGCGGUGGAGCAUGUGGUUUAAUUCGACGCAACGCGAAGAACCUUACCUGGCCUUGACAUGCAGAGAACUUUCCAGAGAUGGAUUGGUGCCUUCGGGAACUCUGACACAGGUGCUGCAUGGCCGUCGUCAGCUCGUGUCGUGAGAUGUUGGGUUAAGUCCCGUAACGAGCGCAACCCCUAUCCCUAGUUGCUAGCAGUUCGGCUGAGAACUCUAGGGAGACUGCCGGUGACAAACCGGAGGAAGGUGGGGAUGACGUCAGGUCAUCAUGGCCCUUACGGCCAGGGCUACACACGUGCUACAAUGGUGCGUACAGAGGGCUGCAAACCCGCGAGGGGGAGCUAAUCUCACAAAACGCAUCGUAGUCCGGAUCGGAGUCUGCAACUCGACUCCGUGAAGUCGGAAUCGCUAGUAAUCGCGAAUCAGAAUGUCGCGGUGAAUACGUUCCCGGGCCUUGUACACACCGCCCGUCACACCAUGGGAGUGGAUUGCACCAGAAGUGGUUAGUCUAACCUUCGGGAGGACGAU